CUCUUAUCAAGAGAAGGUCGAGGGACUGGCCCGAUGAAGCCCGGCAACCGGCGCGUGCCACCGGCGAUGCGCACGGUGCUAACUCCUGCGGAACCCAGGUGUUUCCGAGAGAUGAGAG
rnacentral:ncRNA from 1 species